ensembl:lncRNA
AUGGUGGUUGUUCUCUUCGUCGUUGUUCUUAUGGUAGUGGUGGCGGUUGGGCUGGAGAGGAGGGAGACCGGUCGACUGCGCCAGGGCGGUUGGAUGCACACUGAGCCAGGGGUGGGCGGGCCGAGCGGCAGCCCAGCAGGGGCGACGGAGAAUGGAGAAGCUCCUGGCACCAGUAACCGCUUCCGGUCCUCUCGCCCUCCCUCCCGUCCUGUUGUGCCCAGGACGGUGAUGGCACCGUGGACGAGGAGGACCCCAACGACGACCGUCUCUGCGCGUCCUGCGUCAACAUUUGUGCCUCCGACUCCGGGGGCAACCUUUCCCGCGGCGGGAAAACCGAAAUCGGCCCGACCCACCCUGGAUUCGGACCGCUCUGCGGGGCCGCCGCGGCGCCUGCGCCUGAGCAACUCUCUGCAGCAACACGUGGCCAAGCGGCCGCGGGACUUCUGCAGGAGCCCAGACCGCAGCUCCUCGCAAGCCGGGAGAGGCGGGGCGGGGCGGGGCGGGGCCUUCCGCAGAGGGGCGGGGCCUUCCGCAGAGGGGCGGGGCGCUUGGCUCCCUGGUUCCGCGCGGAGGCAACUCCUGCCUGACUCGCUUGAGGUCUUCAGCCAGUCGGUGUCCUAGCGGCUCCCAGUGCCUGAUUCCCACCCGUUCGGUCCCCCUCAGGUGCUCAUCUGGCUGGAACACACCAGCCCAGGCUGAGCUUUGUGGGGAGAUGGGCUCUCUGGCUUUAGCAACUGGCGCAUCUCAACCCUGUGUCCCCAGCCUAGAGACUAGACUCUGCACUCCCAUUGUGUUAGGUCUCGCACUGGGCAGAGGGCUUCUGACCCCUGCUCUGCUCACAGAUUCCUAGACAGGGAUUCCCACGACUCCUACAUCUCCAACACAAAGAGGCAGAGGUGGUGAGACAACUGCCUGGGGGUGGGGGGUGGGGAUGGGGCAGGGACCUUAAGGGGAGGGAGCUGACGCCAGGAUUCUUUCUGGCAGGUGGCAGUCUAUGCCAAGUAGAAACGCACAGAGAUGGCCAUUUCCCGUCUGCUGGCCAGAGGAGUUGACCCUGCAGCCUUCCCACUGCAUGAACUGGAGAUGACCCAAGCUCAGCUCUCUCCCACUGCCGGGGCAUCAGGAGGGAACCCUGCAGCCCUCCCUCCUUUCGUCUGCCUGGGGCCCUUUGACCCGCCCAGGUUGCUGUGCUCCUGCUGGGCUUGCUGGAGAUGCUGGCACAAGAGUACUCUGGGGAGAAGGUCAUCUACUUUACCUGGCACUGGGGGGGGUGGGGGCUGGGAGCUGGGGUCAAGUACAAAGAUGGCGGCUCGCAAACUUUGUCGUCUUGUCAGGCUUCUGCACGGCCUCGCUGCUGCCUGCCUGCUGCCCUUGUGGGCACCACGGUCUUUAUUUCUGGCCUUAUUGUCAUGGGCACCAACACGCCAGCAUGAGUGGCUGGAGCUAGGGGCAGGAGGACGGGCUGGGUGGGCCAGAUCAGAUGGUUGGUUGAGGAUAGACUCUCCCAGGAUGGGCACUUUUUGCCCAUAGGGAACAGAUCUGUGCCAUGAGCGUACCUUCCUCAUGUGCCCACUCUGCCAUACCUGUGCCGUAUGGAAUAAUUCCAAGAUCUGCCCCAUGGCAAGGUGAGACAGGGACAAGAGCAAGGGAAUGGGUAGGUGUUUGGGACACCUGGGUCUGGCUGUGGGGAGGCAGUGCUGGCCCUGCAGUAUGUCCCCUCGCCCUUUCUUGCAGUUGGGCUACUUCUCUGUCUGGGGACUGUGUUCUUCAGCAUCUUUAUGUCCUUGUGGGCCACGGCCUUCCUGGAGCACCGGAAGUGCAAGAGCAUCACCCUUGUCCACCACUGGGACCGCAGUGACUUCCAGGAAGAGGAGGUGAGGCCCAGCUCAGCCCGCCAGGCCCAGAGCUCCAUUUCCCAGAGUUCUCACAAACCACAAGGCAUGCUGGGAAGAGACUAGACUUUGGAGUCCAAAAUUCCAGGAUCCAAAUCUGGCUCCUUCCUACACCUCCCAGGUUACUUUUCCACCUGCCCCUGAUAUCAAGAUGAUGUAAGGUUUGGUGAGGUUAAAGACUGGGUGCAUUUAGGGUCUCAAAGAGAAACUUUGGCACAGGGAAGAAGGGGGGCAGCAUUCCACUCACCCAGCCAGCCAGCCACCCACCAGCCCAUCCAAACACCUAAUCAUUGAUCCUGUAUCUGCUUCUCUCCACCUCCACUGCCACUCCCUCCCCUGCCCCCUGUCCCCAGUCCAAGCCACCAUCCACCAUUGUUUCACCUGAACCACUGUGGUAGCCCUCCAAAGGUCUCCCUGCUCCUGGACUUGCCCUACUUAAUUUCUUUUCAGCUGCCAGGGUGAUCUUUUGAAAACACAAAUCAUGUUGUGCAUUGUCCUCCCCAGAGCCUUCCAGUAGGAUGCAUUCUCAUAUGGGAUGCAUUAGGUUAAACAGAUGUGGGGGGAGUGAAAAAGCAGGAAAGAAACAUUGAGGUAACAAAGUCAGUGUGAAUGGUGCCCCCUAGAAUAGUGCGGUAUACAACUCAUGUGACCUAAAGAAUGGCCCUGCCUUUGCACACAUGGUUCCUCCCUGCCACCACCACCACCACCACCACCACCAUCACUGUGGGACACUGUCUUUCCACCUUCUUCUUACUUAGCAUCGUUCCUGCAUAGGACUUCUUCGCAAUUACGUAUUUGUGCUUAUUUGUUUGAUGUCUGUCUCCCCAACUAGACUGUAAAGUCCAUUAGGGCUCGGGCUUUGUCCAGGUUGUUAUCACAUUGUAUCCAGUAUCUACUGUAGAAUAGUAUGCAGUCAGUUAUAAGUUACCGAACACACUAAUCCAUGAUCUAUUACACAUUACAUCCAGCAUCCAUCCCACCCGGCUUUCAUCUGCUCACCCACCUAGCCAUCCAACCAUCUAUGCACCCACCUGCCCUUCCACUCACCCACUUGUGCACCCACUUACAGACACGUGCCAAUUGUUGGCCUGUCCGGUUUACCCACCCAUUUGUCUUCCUACUGCCCACCCAUCUGUCAGUCUAUCCAGCCCUCUCCCACAAGUGCAUCCAUUUGUUGUUUACAUUUGUUUUUACCUUCCCAUCCAUCCAUCCAUCCAUCCAUCCAUCCAUCCAUCCAUCCAUCAUCCAUCCAUCCACAGGCUCUUAGCCAGGCCCUUGAGGGGUGGGGAAGGCCCUGCAGAAACAAAAAUAAAUGGAACCUCAUUCCUGUACUUCCA